rnacentral:rRNA from 1 species
AGCCCACGGGCGAAGUGAAAGCGCAAGCUCUUCUCUGGAAGGGCGCGAGACGGCCGAUCCCUGCAUCCUGUGUGGGGCGCAGGCCGCGAACUCUCGUGGCUCCCUUCGGGGUGCCGAGGGUAUCGCGAGUGCAUUUGCCAGGACCCGAAAGAUGGUGAUCUAUGCUUGGACAGGACGAAUGCCAGGGGAAACCCUGGUGGAGGUCCGAAGUGCCUCUGACGUGCAAAUCGAUCAUCAGAUCUGAGCAUAGGGGCGAAAGACUAAUCGAACCAUC